GAGUUUGAUCCUGGCUCAGGACGAACGCUGGCGGCGUGCCUAAUACAUGCAAGUCGAGCGGAGAUUUGAAAAGCUUGCUUUUCAAAUCUUAGCGGCGGACGGGUGAGUAACACGUGGGCAACCUGCCCUUGAGACGGGGAUAACUCCGGGAAACCGGAGCUAAUACCGGAUAACACAUAUCUUCGCAUGAAGAUAUGUUAGAAGGUGGCUUUUAGCUAUCACUCAAGGAUGGGCCCGCGGCGCAUUAGCUAGUUGGUGAGGUAACGGCUCACCAAGGCGACGAUGCGUAGCCGACCUGAGAGGGUGAUCGGCCACACUGGGACUGAGACACGGCCCAGACUCCUACGGGAGGCAGCAGUAGGGAAUCUUCCGCAAUGGACGAAAGUCUGACGGAGCAACGCCGCGUGAGUGAUGAAGGUUUUCGGAUCGUAAAGCUCUGUUGUUAGGGAAGAACAAGUACCUGUUGAAUAAGCAGGUACCUUGACGGUACCUAACCAGAAAGCCACGGCUAACUACGUGCCAGCAGCCGCGGUAAUACGUAGGUGGCAAGCGUUGUCCGGAAUUAUUGGGCGUAAAGCGCGCGCAGGCGGUUCCUUAAGUCUGAUGUGAAAGCCCACGGCUCAACCGUGGAGGGUCAUUGGAAACUGGGGAACUUGAGUGCAGAAGAGGAGAGCGGAAUUCCACGUGUAGCGGUGAAAUGCGUAGAGAUGUGGAGGAACACCAGUGGCGAAGGCGGCUCUCUGGUCUGUAACUGACGCUGAGGCGCGAAAGCGUGGGGAGCGAACAGGAUUAGAUACCCUGGUAGUCCACGCCGUAAACGAUGAGUGCUAAGUGUUAGAGGGUUUCCGCCCUUUAGUGCUGCAGCAAACGCAUUAAGCACUCCGCCUGGG
rnacentral:rRNA from 1 species